UACGUAGGGUGCCAGCGUUAAUCGGAAUUACUGGGCGUAAAGCGUGCGCAGGCGGUGAUGUAAGACAGAUGUGAAAUCCCCGGGCUCAACCUGGGAACUGCAUUUGUGACUGCAUCGCUGGAGUGCGGCAGAGGGGGAUGGAAUUCCGCGUGUAGCAGUGAAAUGCGUAGAUAUGCGGAGGAACACCGAUGGCGAAGGCAAUCCCCUGGGCCUGCACUGACGCUCAUGCACGAAAGCGUGGGGAGCAAACAGG
rnacentral:rRNA from 1 species